AUCGCUUCUUGGCCUUUUGGCUUGGAAUAUGUGUAGUUUCUGUUCUUAUCAGUUUAAUCGCUGAUAUCUCCCGAAGGUGGGAGUGUUUGUAUUAAAUUUAUUUUUGGAUUUUUGGAGCAGGGAGAUGGCUUAAGGGCUUGCUCUGUCCUCUCCAUGUAUCAGAGUAAAAAGUGAGGUCUGCAGAUGCUGGAGAU